CUGCCAUUUUUUAGUCUCAUGCUUUCCCAUGGAUGAUACUAGCACUGACAUUUGUCACUGAGCACCUCUUUCCCCAGAGACCUCCUGGUGUGACUCACUGGGGGUUUCUGGAAGGAGUGGGCCCUUGGGAGUCUGAGGCAGCAGGAAGACUUGACCGGGGUCACAGUAGACAGUUGGUUGGGGUGAGGGAUGGAAGCCAGCUUUCCCCGCCCAGAGCACACAGGCAGCACCAGUCCCUUUGCGUCAUAUCUUUUUGAGCCUGAGUACAGAGCAACUUGACCUAAAAACAUUAUAUAUAUGUGGGUGUUGAAUCCUUUGAGUCUAAUAUUUCUUUGUCCAGAAGCUGUGUGUAUGAUGAGAGCCCACAUUCUGUACUUCAUAGAGCUCUGAUGUCCCUCAAGUUUGUUUUCUGAAAGAGCCGAUAGUUGGGCCCCCCUCGACGAGACCCUGUACCUCUGGUAGUGGCCCUUCUCCAGGACGAUGGACCAAGCAUCGUCUGUCUUGUGUGAUUGGACGGUGAGCAGCAUCUGAGGGCCAUGGUUUCAGGGCCACACCAUAACCCCAGGUGGGCCCCUGAGUGGAGCCUGCACAGUGAAUUGCUUGAGGUUGGCUCUGUAAACUGAGCCCACCUCUCUUCCUUUUGCUUCUUCCCUGCAGGGAACUCAGAAGAGCUUAGCUCCAGGUGUAAGUGACAACCUCUUGGAGACUCAGCUCAGCUGAGGAUGGUGUGGUAUGCAGAAGACAGCCGUCAUACCAUGGGAUAAUGUGUGCCCGUUUGCAUUUAUUUGGAACAAAAAAAAAAAGAUGUGUGGCAGCCUGGCUCUGUGCAGUGCUGCGAAGCCACAAACCGUUCCCUGCCAUCCUGUGACCGCAAGUGCUGAUUGAUGUGAUAGGAUCCCGGUCUUGUCAGUGACUCAUCGCCAGGCUGCUUAGUGGAAACCAGAUGCAGCACGGAGAAUAGGAUUUAACCCCUCUCCUGCCUCCCAGGUGUUCCCUGAGGAACGCUUAGGAUUGGACUGGGGGCAACACGCACGCACGUGUGAAGGUCCAUCCACCUGGAGCCCCUGAGCCCGGCCUCCGCUCGUGCAGAAGCCCUGCGAUGGGGAACCCAGGGGCGUUGUGUUGGUGGAUGAAGCCUUCGGGAAUCACGUGUGAAGGUUUGUCGUCUGGGACCCCGUUCAGUCUGCUCACCUGGGGGAAUGGGAAGGAUCACCGAACCUGCAGCAGGGAGGGUGACUUCAGGGAGAACCCUGGCAGCUUCGGCUUUGCCGAGGGCUCCCAAGGAAUGACGAGUCCUCUUUCUCUGAGGGAGGGGACUGGAGAGCCUUCCAGUCCGGGGGCUGUGGGACCCAGACCACCUGGAGCAGCGUGAGGUUUGGGUGCCGGGAUCCAGGGUGCGCUGCACUCUGCGUCUUCCCUUCCUACCUUUGAGGUGAGCCUAAGCUGGGGGGUGGGGGACACACAAGCCGGAGGCUCGGAGCCCUCACCUUGUGCCCCUUGCAGAGACAGCUCCUGGAACUGACCCUAUAGGGCUGAUUUUACUUGCAAAUAAAACAGGACAGAGGCAUGUUGCCCCUCAUCCCUACCGGGAAAGAGCCCUGAGCUGCUCUAAGCCUCAGGGACCUCUUUGCACCACCACUCUGACUUCCCGCAGCCCUAGGGACCUCUGCUCGGCAUUGGAGAUGGGGGGGGGUGGGACAGGAGGCAGGGCCAGACAUGGUUUGCUGGGAAGAAGGUAAGAGUUAGAAGAGGAAUACCUCAAGCAGGUCCACAGCUCGGGGAACACUGGCGUUACCUGCUGUGCUGAAGCCACAGCUGUGGGUUCAAAUGGGCAUACUAUUUGGAGGAAACCCAAGGUCUUAAAUAACCCAGUUAAUGGUUAAAUGAGGGUUGUAUUAAAUAUGGAGAACCAUAUAUCCUCUUUUGUUAUCACUCCUGCAGCUUUGGCUUUGAAUGGCCUGACAGGUCAGGGGCAUUUCAGGGGUCCCUCAUGUCUGUGUAAGAUCAUGCUUCUUUUAAGUUGACUUUUUGUCUCCUUUCUUUUCUGGUUUUGCUCUCAUUCAUUCCUUAAGUAUACAUGAAUAUUUGCCCAUUCGUUUGUGGUGUUAUUUGGGGGCGGGGGCUAGUGUAUUGCUUUUAUUUCGAAUGUGAACAAACCACAAGCUCACUGCAGAGAUGAGCCGUCUCUGAGAUGGGGCAGGUGCCCGGCCCAGACAUCCAGACCCCCGGGAGGGGAGGAUCCGGAGUGUUUUUGCUAGGACUGCCUCUGCCUACGGCAGGCGGCCUCUGCGGGGUGGGGGCUGCUCAUGCAUGAAUCCCCAGGACAAUUUAGCUGUUUCUUCUUUUCAGUUUGAACCCUGAGGAUCAGCCUUGAAAGUCUGAGACCACGUGUCACCCUGCUAGGUUAGGAGGGGACAGGGCCAGGGAGGAAGGGAACACAGGCUGCUGGCAACUGGCCUUUCAAGACAGGUGAACUCUGUUCAAAAAGGAGUUUAUUUAAUCUUUUGGCCCUAAUGGAAGUUAUUUGUAUUUUCUCUCCCUCUCUCUUUUCUCCCUCAACUCAACCCCCACCCCCCCAACCCCGCGACCGGCCUCCAAAAGAAUUUAAUCUGCUGGACAACAAACAAUACUGUUAUAAAACUUGGAAAACAAGAGGGCGAGGCCUCCCUGACAAGAAGAAGGGCAUGCUGGGUAACAGCGAGGGAGCCUGCCAGGCGGGGAUGGUGCCGGGCGAGAGCCCAGUUGGCUGGGUACCUGGGCGCCCGCCCCUGCCUAGUCCCCCGGCCAUGCCAUCCCCAGUCCAGAGGGGAAGGAACAGAAAUGAAAGUGGGGGCAGAGAAACGCUUGAAAAGGGGAAGUUGUACGUGUUCUCCGGUCUCUGAUCUGAUGGGAAUGCACUAGACUGUGAAACUUCCUCCUCCACCUCCCGCCCCUCCCCCCUCCCUCCUUCCCUCCCUCUCCUCCCUCCCUCCCCUCCCCUCCCUGUCCUCCUGCCUCCUCCCACCAUGCACUGUUCCAGGUUCUGAGACUGGCAGACAGAGGCCGUGAUAACAGAAUGAGGCUGGCCUGGCGACGUAGGCACAGCCACCAGCCCAGGCAGCUUCAGGGCAAGCAGGAGAGGAAGGUGCUCGAGUUGGCUUUGGACUCUGGACCUACCCUCUGCCUGUCCAGCGUCCCUCCCCCCAACUAGGGAAGUGGAACCAUGUCACAGGGUGUGCCCCCGUCCAUGUGCUCAGCCAGGUGUGUGCCCAGGUACUGGGUAGAACCGCCGCUCGGAGGUUAGUGGUACGCCGGGCUUCCUGGUGCUGGCGGGGCCUUGCUCCCGGGAGGAUGUCUGAUUUGCAGAGAGGCCCUGCUCUCCCUCAGGAGCAGUGGGGGCUGCGCCACCAGCACAGGGCACGCCGAGGGGGGCCUGUGAGCGGGGUGCCCAUGGAUACCGUUGUCUGCUGGUUGCUCUGCCGGGGCAGGUGGGGAAGCAGGGCCCUGGGGCCUCUCUUCCUCAACCUCCAGAGUUAGAUUCCACCUGAGACUGAAGUUCACUUCCGAGUCCAUCUUUAAUGGGCCUGGGAGAUGAUUCAGUGGUUUUCCUCUGGAUCUGCAUUGGCUUGGACCUCGGGGCUGUGUGGUGGGCGGUGUGUUUGUGUACCAGAGGCACGAGGCGCGCUCCCUGCUCCUCCUGUGGAAAACACUGGUCAGGGCUGUGCCCGCCCUCCUUGGCCGGGGCUAAGCCAUUCCCUGGGGCCAUGGUGACUUCCAUGCUCCCACCUUCCCUCUGUCCCUCCUCCUUUCCUUGGCUCCCCACUGCCUCCGGCUGCUUCCCACGCCCUACUGUGGGGUGGGGGCAGGGUAGGCAUGGGGGGCAUCCUCCCCUCCAGCCAGCCUGCCUACCCCUGCAGGGUUCCCUGCUCUGUACUGAGUGGGAAAUUUUCAGACCCAGGUUCUUGCUGGUGGUGUUGAGGAAGGGACAGAGAGCCUGGCUUUGUGGAGAGCCACUGCCGGGGGCCGCAGGUCUGCGUGCCCGGCUUCAGGGGAACCCAGCACCGCUGAUGCUGGGCCCACCAAGCUGAGGAGGCUGUGGCUUCUUGCCCUGAAACCUCAGUGGGGUCUUGAGGGGCUCAGUGCUUCUGGAGCAUGUUAUUCCUGCUUUGGGAUCUGGGGUCUGGGAAGUGUGGUGGUCCCUGUAUGCUGAGCCCUCUUUUGGGGGCCGAGCUGCCCAAGAGAGAGAGAGCCCUUUCCACGUUCCCCUCCACCCCGGGCUCCCAUGCCCAUGCCCUUCAUUUUAUUAACCUUUCCUUUGAUUCAUUAACCGCAGCUAGUUGGCAGAGGCCUCACCCUGACGGCUUAAGACAAAAUGUCCAGGACAUGGGGCCUGGGCCGCAGCAGGGAGUGACAGGAAGCUGGGCCGGGCCUCUCGGUCCAUCCGUUCAGUGGUCUGGGACUGAAGGCAGAAUGUUCCCCUUUCAGAAGGGCCCCCCCAGGCCCUUCUCGCACCAGGAUGAUGCUUCCUCCCUGCCAGGAGCCUGAACCCAGCAUUCCCAGUGGCAGGAAGAAGGACGAUCUGGGCCCUGCUUCCGGCAGCCCUCCCCCGCUCUGGCUGGAGCGCUGGCUCAGUGGCGUAAGUAGCUGUGACUCAGCAUCCAGCCCUGUUGGGAGGGAGGAGCUGCUGCCUUGAAGGCACCUCUCUGCGUUCUGGAUUGGAGCACCUCGAGGUCUCACAGAACGUGGCAGCAGCAUUAGGGUCCCUGGGGGCGAAUAUCGUUUUGUUCCGUGGGUUUGGUUUUGGAUUUCAUAAACAAGAAUGCCUCCCCUUCCCAUUUUCUCCCAUGUUAUUUUUUGGGCACUGUGCCGCAUGUGAUAUUUAGGACUUUAAAGGAGACAGCAUCCUUUAUAGAGUGAAGUAGCAGCUCUCGUCACAGUCUCCAGACUGUUCUGUAACCAGUAGCAGUGAAUUGUAUUUAAAAAAAAACGUAUCUGAUUUUGCAUGCCUGGAGACAAAACGUGGCCCCUGCAGGUCACUCUGCUUCUGCCGGGCGCUGUCUUAAGUUCCCUGCUGGCCCUUGGAGCUCUGAACGUGCCGUGACCAGCCUGCCCGGCUUUCUCAGACGAACCCUCUGAGGCCCAUUCCAGGGAGGCUCUCACAGUUUGGGCCGAGCAGGAAGUGAGGCCACUGUGUCUGAUUCACUGCGUGAUGACCUUUCCUCCACACCGAGAAGUGUCCUGGUUGUGGGAGGGGGAGGGGCGGACAAACCUGCAAACAGAAUGUAGACACAGAAAUGCACCAGGGCUGCAGCUGGGCUCCCGAAGCCCUUUUUCUGCACAGUGGCACCUCCCAGGGCGACAGACCCACUCUUCUGGUGGGCGGUUUUUCUCUCCAGGCAGCCCACCCCGCCUGUUGCUGCUGGCCAGUGUGUUUGGGACCAUUAGGCCAGUGUGGGAGGAGCCUGCCACCCGCAGGUGACAGCUGAGCCCUCAGCAGGCUAGAGCUUUCCUGGGCUAGACCUGGGUGGCACUCACCCCCCCCCCCCCCAGCCCCCGUGCAGGUGGGCAAACCCCUUCCAGCCCUCAUCAGGCCACCGGCUCGAUCGAGGUAGGAAAGAAAAUCAGCAGCUUGUUUCAGGUGAGUCGUGGAGCAGCAGACCGAGAGGGAAGCCCGGCUCUGGUGGGAGAGCUGAGACCUGAACGGACCCUUUCAUCCAAUAGGAUUGGAAGGGCAGAAGGUUUGGGGACGAAGAUUACUCUCUUUCCCCUCUUUAGAGUGUUUACAGUGAUGCAUUGUUAAUGAUUUAUUUAUCUCUUCCAGAGAACUAAGAGUAUUUUGACCCAGAAGUUGGGAGCCCUAACUCUGGUUGGUGUCCCUUGGCUCCUCAGUGGGGGAGGCCACUGUGCUGUGGGCAGCCCCUCCUCCCAACUCCCGGCUGACGUUUCCCGGGUAGCAGGAGAGACAUUAAUUAAUCACCCUGAUGAUCAAAUGACAUAAGCGUGUUCUGAAGGAACAGAACUAAAUGCUGAGACGUGACUUAGCCGAAAGCUGGGCUGGGGGCCGGGUGGCGGAGCUUCCCUGAGCAAGAUCUGAAGGGGCGUCAGACCACCCAGGUUACGUGGGGAAGGGGGCUUGGCGGUGGGGGGUGGGGGGGGGGGCGCACAUUGACAUAUGGUAGCAGUGGGAGAGUGGAUGGAGAAUGUCCCAGACUGGGGACAGCAUAUGCAGAGGCCUUCUGGUGGGACGACGGGCACUGUCUGGGUCACUGAAGGGUGCCUGUUUGACACGGCAGCAUCUUAGGAAGGGGUUUUGUGGGUGCUGGCGAUUGGGAGUUGCUAAGGAAGAAGGGUUUGGCUGAAGUGAAAAGCAGAAAGACGGAGAAUUGGCAAAUGGAAAUCUGUCCAUUGUAUAAGAUUCAGACCCCAUGGUAAUGACUGUCAUUUGACCCUCACUCCUGACCUAAAAACCCUCGCAGUGAGCUGGCUGACAGGCCCCGGCUGUUGGGCAGGGCCAGCCCCAGCUCCCCACCUGCGGCCCAGGCCUUGCAAACCCCGAGGGCCGCAGAGCGUGGUGCUGCUGUCAGCAUCACUCGGGAGUCCUCACGGCCCUGGGGAGUUCAUCUCCAGUGGUGCCCACUCCCGCUGCCAUGCUGCGGGCCACUGCAAAGGCAGCAGAGGUGCAGGAGAACACAGCAAGCAGCCCACCUGCCCGGUCCCUGGCGGAACCAGGUGUGCUGCUGCCUCCACCGAGUUUAACGUGUAGUGUGGUCAGUGACAUCCCGCUUCCUUGUAGAAAUCGUGCCUCCGGUCCCCCUGCCCCUUCGCCCCACCCUGCUUAAGAUCAAGUUCAACAACAGCAUGAAGUGAUAGUCCAGCUAUGGAGCAGGCAGCGGAGGGGCAGGUACAGACUUCAGGGUUAGAUCUGGGAUCUUUAGCUAUUGAACCAUGCUAAGGAGCCAUUUCUUUGGCGAAAAUGGGAAUAUACCUGCUUCAAAUGGCUGUUGUGAGGGUUGAAGGGUAUAACCCAGUGUUCAGUUCAGAUGUUACCUGCUCCUCCUACCCCCUAGAGCAGGACACUCCUCUCCAGGAGCCAACAAAAUAUGAGCCUAUGUAGCCGGAGGCCUAAAGGAUGGGUAGGGAACCUGAAAGACAGAGAUUCCACUCUGUCUCCUUUUUCUCUCGGUUGUGGUCUCAGAAGACAGAGACAUGUUUUCUGAGCUUCGAACAACCAAAGAAUGUGAUGCAAUUAGGAGAUGGGACUUUUAACUUAAAUACGGUUUGAAAAUCUCAUAUUCAGGCAUAUUUUGAAAACACCACAAAUAAAAAAAAAAAAGCUCUGUGUUAGAGGACUAUCUGUUGUACUUAGUACAGUUGUAGGGCACCCCUUUUUUUGUGUCACACCAGAGGUUAGGUAAGAUUGCCAGUGUUCUCAUGCUUCCUUCUGUUUGGUGGGGCCCAUGUUCUUCCUGAGUAGGGCCCCAGGCGGUGGCCCUGGCCCAGGUGAAAGUCGCUCUGUGUGGUGGCUAGAGCCUCCCGGGCAGGUGGGGCUUGUUUCCUGGUGGGGCGGGAUGCUGUCAGAAGACCUCUUCCACACGGGGCACUGUCUCACAAACGCAGGGCCGUACUGAUGUAGAAAUGCGUUUUAAUAACAGCUCUGGCUCAUCGUCUCAUCGUGCGUGUGAUAAUCUGUAGGGACUGGUUGUGGCGUCAAAUUAACGUCGAGCUUACGGAUUUCAUUCCGCCGCGUCUGCGCAAGGCGUCAGCCGUGACCUGCAUCUCCGCGAGCGUGACCGGGACGCUCCUCUCUGCCUGUCGAGUGGUCCCGCUGCUGUGUGACGUCACGAGUGGAGCUGCAAGAAGCUGUUCUCCUCGGCGCAGAGGCUGGGUCUUCUGAUCGCCUCUCCCUUUUUGCUUCAGUGAGAUCCUCUUCUUCUGGAAGCUGGUUUCACAUGGUGGCUUAGAUUUUUCCAUCUUUGUAUCUAGCACCAUUUGAAAUCAGUGUUUUAGGAGUAAGAAUUGCAGCACAGCCAAGGGGCGACGGCAGCGGCGCUGCUGCUCUGGGGCCGGGCUCCUCCCGCCACCUGAGCCGGGUCCAGACGGAAGCGACGUGAAAAGCAAAGCUCGCUGUAGAGUGCGUUGGGUCUGGGGGUGACAGUGGGUGGGGAGGAGCUUGUGUUUGCAGUCACCUGGGGGUUUGAGCAGGGGCGGAGGCUGUGACACUCCUUCCGCUGUCAGGUAGCCAGAGUCCCCUGUCGGCAGGGCCUUUGAGCGCAGCGGUGGGCACUGCUGGGGUGGGGCCUUGGUUAUAACAGGGAAGGGGAGAGGACUGUGUGCCCAGAGGACUGCCCCGUCCACACUGGCACUGCCCACCUGCCCCUGGGCCCUGGGACAUGCAGCUGCGAUUGCAGAGCAGCUGACGUCAGACUUGCCACCUGCACCGUCGAGGUGUGGGAGCCCCGGAGCACCACCGGACCCAUCUCUUACACAGGCUGACCGAUUUCUCCUGGUGUUCAGAGUCUGUUUUUGUCUAGCACCAUUUGAAAUCGGUUAUGAUGUAGGGGGAAAAGCAGCAGCCUCGAAGCCUCGUGCCAAGUCUGCUCAGCAACAGCCUGUGGUUUCCUGGAAGACGGAUGGGCACAGGGUGGGGAGGGAGGUCACACUUUUUCCUACUAACUUCUUUAACUGCAUUUCUGAUACUUCAUUGCAGAGGUAGGAGAUGAUUUAUUGGGUUUUAAAAAACAGAUUAAUUUAUCCGAGGUCCUCAGUUGCAUUUUGCUGAAAUGUAUGCUGGUGUAAAUUCUAUAAAUUGGCUGCUUGUUGACUUACCUUUCUGUUAAGAAGAGACGAUUCAUGCAUCUGAACUUAAUAAAUAUUUUACUGUAUUCAGUUUA